GAUGAACGCUGGCGGCGUGCCUAAUACAUGCAAGUCGAGCGAACAGACGAGGAUCUUGCUCCUCUGACGUUAGCGGCGGACGGGUGAGUAACACGUGGAUAACCUACCUAUAAGACUGGGAUAACUUCGGGAAACCGGAGCUAAUACCGGAUAAUAUAUUGAACCGCAUGGUUCAAUAGUGAAAGACGGUUUUGCUGUCACUUAUAGAUGGAUCCGCGCCGCAUUAGCUAGUUGGUAAGGUAACGGCUUACCAAGGCAACGAUGCGUAGCCGACCUGAGAGGGUGGUCGGCGACACUGGAACUGAGACACGGUCCAGACUCCUACGGGAGGCAGCAGUAGGGAAUCGUCGGCAGUGGGCGAAAGCCUGACGGAGCAACGCCGCGUGAGUGAUGAAGGUCUUCGGAUCGUAAAACUCUGUUAUUAGGGAAGAACAAAUGUGUAAGUAAAUAUGCACGUCUUGACGGUACCUAAUCAGAAAGCCACGGCUAACUACGUG
rnacentral:rRNA from 1 species